AGUGGCUUCCAUCAGUGAACUCCUCCAUAAAGUGCCACUCCAGAAAAAAUAUCACUUCAGAAUAUUCUGGAAAAAUGUCGACGGCGAGGGAAGCAAGCGGACAACUCAGUGUUGUACAUGUAUGCAAGCCUAAAUAUGCGUGUAACAGAAAAGGCUGAAGGUGAGAGUUUGGAUUCAGCUCUACUACUUUAUACAUAACUUGGCAGCAGAUGGGGGACUUUAGCUAGAGUUCAGUGGUGGAGUCAGCAAGUGCUUAGUAAAGAGAAUACACAUCGUCAAGGAAACAGCAGUUACAUCGACCAGGGGUGAAUCUCCA